UAUAGUAAAAUGCUAUCUGUAGAAUGUAGUCAGAUACAUAGGUGUUCAUUGUAUAUUCCUUUCAACUUUUCUCUGUGUUUGAAAAUUUUUACAGUAAAAUAUGGGAGGGAAAAAGCGAAAACCAGAAGCAUGAGCAGGAGUGCCCCUCUUGGAUCAAGGAGGUGCUUCUGCAUUGUUUCGCUGACCGGGAUCGCACCCUCGCCCUGUCAUCAGAGUUGAGCUGGUCAACACAGCCUUUCCUGUCCCCAGCUGUUCCCCCUGGGGGAAGCAGCCAGGAAUAGAACUGUGUGCGGUUUCUAGUCACCAAGUUUCCUUGCUUCAAAGUGGGGUGAUCAUACUCAUCCAUAAAAAGGAACAAAACUGGGUCAUUUGUAGACAGGUGGAUGGACCUAGACUCUGUCAUACAGAGUGGAGAAAGUCAGAAAGAGAAAAACAAAUACUGUAUAUGAAAGCGUAUAUGUGAAUCUAGAAAAACGGUAGAGAGGGACCUCAUCUGCAAAUCAGAGACAGAGCCACAGAGAACAAAGGAAUAAAUGUAUGGAUACGAAGGAAGGAAGAUACUGAAAUCUCCACCAGAUGAAAGAAGUUAAGUACAUGCUGCCUACAAGCACGCAGACCCCAGACCAGUUGGAACCAGAAGGUCGAUGAUGCUGACUCUCCAUGACAUCACCACCAACCAAUCAGAAGAAUGUCCACGAGCUGGUUGCCCUGCUCUUUGAACACUAUGACUCCUCACUACCCGCUCCAGGGUGGCUCCCUUUGGCUUGCAAAGCAGUAAAAGUUACACUUUCCCACUUCAUCCAAAA